GAUGAACGCUAGCUACAGGCUUAACACAUGCAAGUCGAGGGGCAGCAUGUCGGUUGCUUGCAACCGAUGAUGGCGACCGGCGCACGGGUGAGUAACGCGUAUCCAACCUACCCUUGUCCAUCGGAUAACCCGUCGAAAGGCGGCCUAACACGAUAUGCGGUUCUCUGCAGGCAUCUAACGAGAACGAAAUGUGAAGGAGAAGGAUGGGGAUGCGUCUGAUUAGCUUGUUGGCGGGGUAACGGCCCACCAAGGCGACGAUCAGUAGCCGACCUGAGAGGGUGACCGGCCACAUUGGGACUGAGACACGGUCCAAAACUCCUACGGGAGGCAGCAGUGAGGAAUAUUGGUCAAUGGGCGAGAGCCUGAACCAGCCAAGUAGCGUGUGGGAUGACGGCCCUAUGGGUUGUAAACUGCUUUUAUAAGGGAAUAAAGUGGAGGUCGUGACCUCUUUGCAUGUACCUUAUGAAUAAGGACCGGCUAAUUCCGUGCCAGCAGCCG
rnacentral:rRNA from 1 species